rnacentral:rRNA from 1 species
GACGAACGCUGGCGGCAUGCCUAACACAUGCAAGUCUAGGGGUAGCAAUACCACUGGCGCACGGGUGAGUAACACGUAGGUUAUCUGCCCCCAUCACAGACAUAACCCCGGGAAACCGGGGCUAAUAUCUGAUGAGUCGCGAGAUCAAAGCUUCGGCGGGAUGGGGAGUGAGCCUGCGGCUGAUUAGCUAGUUGGUGAGGUAAUGGCUCACCAAGGCGACGAUCAGUAGCUGGUCUGAGAGGACGAACAGCCACACUGGAACUGAGACACGGUCCAGACUCCUACGGGAGGCAGCAGUGAGGAAUAUUGGUCAAUGGGAGCAAUCCUGAACCAGCAAUGCCGCGUGUGGGAGUGACAGGGCUUCGCCUUGUAAACCACUGUCGGACGGGACGAAAGGAGGCCUCGGGCCUCUGGGACGGUACCGUCAAGGAAGGGUCGGCGUAACUACGUGCCAGCAGCCG